CCUACGGGGUGCAGCAGUGGGGGAUAUUGCACAAUGGGGGGAACCCUGAUGCAGCGAAGCCGCGUGGGUGAAGGAGCGUUUCGGCGCGUAAAGCCCUAUCUGCAGGGAAGCAAGAGGACGGUACCUUACUAAUAUGCCCCGGCUAACUACGUGCCAGCAGCCGCAGUAAUACGUAGGGGGCAAGCGUUAUCCGGAUUUACUGGGGGUAUAGGGGGUGCAUAGGGGAACGCAAGCCAGGAGGGAAAGCGCGGGUCCCAACCGCGGGACUGCUCUUGGAACUGCGCGGCUGGAGUGCAGGUGGGGCAGGCGGAAUUCGGGGUGUAGCGGUGAAAUGCGUAGAUAUCAGGAAGAACACCGAUGGCGAAGGCGGCCUGCUGGACUGCGACUGACGUUGAGGCCCGAAAGCGUGGGGAGCAAACAGGAUUAGAUACCCGUGUAGUC
rnacentral:rRNA from 1 species